rnacentral:lncRNA from 1 species
GAGCGGCGGCAGCGAGCGGUCCGUCUCGCACGCGCGGGCACCGCGCUGGUCCUGGGCUGCAGGUUUCCCAGAUGAUGGCAUCCGAGAACUUAAACAAAGGGGGCUGCCGCCGGCGCGCAACGGCUGCGGAAAGUUGCGGUGGCGGAUUUCCAAGGAGCGUGGCCACGACCAGAGCUCUUGGCGAUGCGAGCCCCCGCUUCCCACCCCCGCCGAUCAGAGAAGGGGGCCGGCUGGUGAAGGGAAGAGGAAACUUUGAAACCACUGGGGACACAUCUGUCUAUAGGUAUUAGCUUGAAUGGUACAUCCGUGCCGCGCGCUUUACAAAUCUCUGGCGGGGCGGGGGUAAGGGGGUGAGCAACCCGACGCGUACUAGGUGGGGUGGGCAGGUUGCUAUUUUUCAUGUUUCCCCCUUCGUUUUCCUUCUGAUUCUCUUCCCCCCUCUCGUCCCUCCCUCCCUUUUAUCUCCCCUUUCUUCCCCCCGCCCAGACCUAUUGCGAACGCCCAGAGCCGCCGAGGGAACGCCAACGUCUGGGCCGGACACUAAGAACAACUGCUGGGAAAAAAAUAAAACACCAACCCCAACCGUCAGCAACAAGGUAACAGAGCGAUUCGACAUCAUUUUUUUUCCUGUUCAAUUUUUUCCUUGUUAUAUUUGUUUCCUAAUUUCUGCCCAAAAGGAAAGAUGUCGCAUCAGACUGUGACUGUUGCGAGGAGAAUGAAAAAGGACUCUUGUUUCAGAGGCAACCAAGAGCUCCGGCAAUAGCAACUUCAGAGAAAUGCACCAUCGCAAGAAGUUUUCCUAGGACAGAACAAAACUUGAAACGAGAGGACCAGAGGGGGAGAGCAGGAGCCAGCCUCCCCUCUCCGCACUCGCGAGCAGCCAGCAGCACCACGCCUUCAAGGACGAAAAAGUUUUACUACUCUAAGGGAAAACGAGUGAAAUGUGUUCCUGAGGAGGAGAGGAGAGGAGAGGAGAGAGCGGACAAGAGAAGGAGCGGGCCGGUUGCUGGUCAUCCGUAAUUUGGCUAAGGAAGAAAGGAGCAGCUUCUUUCUUUGUUAUCUCCCGUGAAACCUUCACUUAGCAGGUGGACGGAGCCCCGCGACCGGGCAGAGUCCGGGCUCGCCCGAGGACAGGAGGAGGAGCGGGAGCCCGCGCGUCCCGGGAGAGCGCCCCGAGUGCAGGU